rnacentral:rRNA from 1 species
UCCCGGGCCUUGUACACACCGCCCGUCAAGCCAUGGAAGCUGGGGGUGCCUGAAGUCGGUCACCGCAAGGAGCCGCCUAGGGUAAAACUAGUAACUAGGGCUAAGUCGUAACAAGGUAGCCGUACCGGAAGGUGCGGCUGGAACACCUCCUUUCUAGAG